UGAACGCUGGCGGCGUGCUUAACACAUGCAAGUCGAACGAUGAAGCCUAGCUUGCUAGGUGGAUUAGUGGCGCACGGGUGAGUAAUAUAUAGAUAAUGUGCCUCUUAGUCUGGGAUAGCCAUUGGAAACGAUGAUUAAUACUAGAUACUCCUUCUAACUCUAAUGUUAGUUGGGAAAGUUUUUUCGCUAAGAGAUCAGUCUAUAUCCCAUCAGCUUGUUGGUAGUGUAAGAGACUACCAAGGCAAUGACGGGUAGCGGGUUUGAGAGGAUGAUCCGCCACACUGGUACUGAGACACGGACCAGACUCCUACGGGAGGCAGCAGUGAGGAAUAUUGCACAAUGGGGGAAACCCUGAUGCAGCAACGCCGCGUGGAGGAUGACGCAUUUCGGUGUGUAAACUCCUUUUAUAUGUCAAGAAAAUGACGGUAGCAUAUGAAUAAGCACCGGCUAACUCC
rnacentral:rRNA from 1 species